rnacentral:rRNA from 1 species
CGAAUUCCAAGCUUAGAGUUUGAUCCUGGCUCAGAUUGAACGCUGGCGGCAUGCUUUACACAUGCAAGUCGAACGGCAGCGGGGGCUUCGGCCUGCCGGCGAGUGGCGAACGGGUGAGUAAUACAUCGGAACGUGUCCUUAAGUGGGGAAUAACGCAUCGAAAGAUGUGCUAAUACCGCAUAUCUCUGAGGAGAAAAGCAGGGGAUCGCAAGACCUUGCGCUAAAGGAGCGGCCGAUGUCUGAUUAGCUAGUUGGUGGGGUAAAGGCUUACCAAGGCAACGAUCAGUAGUUGGUCUGAGAGGACGACCAACCACACUGGGACUGAGACACGGCCCAGACUCCUACGGGAGGCAGCAGUGGGGAAUUUUGGACAAUGGGCGAAAGCCUGAUCCAGCCAUGCCGCGUGAGUGAAGAAGGCCUUCGGGUUGUAAAGCUCUUUUAGUCGGAAAGAAAGAAUCAUGAUGAAUAAUUAUGAUUUAUGACGGUACCGACAGAAAAAGCACCGGCUAACUACGUGCCAGCAGCCGCGGUAAUACGUAGGGUGCGAGCGUUAAUCGGAAUUACUGGGCGUAAAGGGUGCGCAGGCGGUUUUGUAAGUCAGAUGUGAAAGCCCCGGGCUUAACCUGGGAAUUGCGUUUGAAACUACAAGGCUAGAGUGCAGCAGAGGGGAGUGGAAUUCCAUGUGUAGCAGUGAAAUGCGUAGAGAUGUGGAAGAACACCGAUGGCGAAGGCAGCUCCCUGGGUUGACACUGACGCUCAUGCACGAAAGCGUGGGGAGCAAACAGGAUUAGAUACCCUGGUAGUCCACGCCCUAAACGAUGUCAACUGGUUGUCGGAUCUAAUUAAGGAUUUGGUAACGUAGCUAACGCGUGAAGUUGACCGCCUGGGGAGUACGGUCGCAAGAUUAAAACUCAAAGGAUUGACGGGACCCGCACAAGCGGUGGAUUAUGUGGAUAAUUCGAUGCACGCGAAAACCUUACCUACCCUUGACAUGCUUGGAAUCUAGUGGAGAAAAAGAGGGCCCGAAAGA